GAGGCGGAGGUUGCAGUGAGCGGAGACUGUGCCAUUGCAUUCCAGCCUGGGCAACAUGAGCAAGACUCCAGUCUGGGCAACAAGAGCAAGAGCAUUUUAAGCUAGCAGACCCACAUGAGAAGAGAUGGGAUGGGCUAGGUCCUCCACCUUCUGGGCCCCAAGUUGGAGGCUGAUCUGGAGAAGAAGUUCAAGGUGGCAAAAGCUCGGCUAGAAGAAACAGACCGGAGGACGGCAAAGGAUGUGGUGGAGAAUGGCGAGACUGCUGACCAGACCCUGUCUCUGAUGGAGCAGCUCCGGGGGGAGGCCCUUAAGUUCCACAAGCCUGGUACGUACCCGGUUCCCGCCAGAACCCAAUGGAAUCCUGCAUAUUGGACAUGCCAAAGCCAUCAAUUUCAACUUUGGCUAUGCCAAGGCCAACAAUGGCAUCUGUUUUCUGCGUUUUGAUGACACCAACCCUGAGAAGGAGGAAGCAAAGUUCUUCACGGCCAUCUGUGACAUGGUAGCCUGGCUAGGCUACACACCUUACAAAGUCACAUAUGCGUCUGACUAUUUUGACCAGCUAUAUGCGUGGGCUGUGGAGCUCAUCCGCAGGGGUCUGGCUUAUGUGUGCCACCAGCGAGGAGAGGAGCUCAAAGGCCAUAAUACUCUGCCUUCACCCUGGAGAGACCGUCCCAUGGAGGAGUCACUGCUG
rnacentral:lncRNA from 1 species